AUUGAACGCUGGCGGCAGGCUUAACACAUGCAAGUCGAGCGAGCGGCGGACGGGUGAGUAAUGUCUGGGAAACUGCCUGAUGGAGGGGGAUCACUACUGGAAACGGUAGCUAAUACCGCAUACCAUCAGAUGUGCCCAGAUGGGAUUAGCUAGUAGGUGGGGUAAUGGCUCACCUAGGCGACGAUCCCUAGCUGGUUUGAGAGGAUGACCAGCCACACUGGGACGGAGAAACGGGCCAGACUCAUAAGGGGGGCAGGGGUGGGGAAUAUUGCACAAAGGGCGCAAGGCUGAUGCAGCCAUGCCGCGUGUGUGAAGAAGGCCCUCGGGUUGUAAAGCAAGUUCAGCGAGGAGGCGUUACUCGCAGAAGAAGCACCGGCUAACUCCGUGCCAGCAGCCGGGGUAAUAC
rnacentral:rRNA from 1 species